CAGCCGCCGCGGUAAUACAGAGGAUGCAAGCGUUAUCCGGAAUGAUUGGGCGUAAAGGGUGCGUAGGCGGUUCAGCAAGUCUCGUGUGAAAUCUUCGGGCUCAACCCGAAGUCUGCACGGGAAACUACUGGGCGUGAGUAUUGGAGAGGUGAGUGGAAUUUCCGGUGUAGCGGUGAAAUGCGUAGAUAUCGGAAGGAACACCUGUGGCGAAAGCGGCUCACUGGACAAUAACUGACGCUGAUGCACGAGAGCUAGGGGAGCAAACAGGAUUAGAUACCCCAGUAGUCCCUGUCUCUUAUAC
rnacentral:rRNA from 1 species